UCGGGUGUGCCAACGAGUCGUUGCACAUUGAAUGGAUACAUGUGUUUUUAAAAACUUUACAUCUUUAACUUGAUCAUUGUGACAUCAUAUCAAACUAUAAGUAAUGUAAUGGUGCUACGUUACUUGUGCCACGCAUCAAAUGGAAAAUGGACUAAUGCAUCAAGGAACGAUUAUACUAUUGCGGCAUCGUAGCCUUACCUCCUAACAGGAGAAAUGGAUAUAAUACGAGAUGAAGACAGGCGCAGGCGCCUGCGAUUGUUGGAGGAACGUAUAAAGGACCCAAGAAGUGUGACAAAUAUUGACAGUUUAUUAGAUACGGUCCAAGCGCUUGUAGCAGACUGUGAUCAUCCUGGUGUAAAACGUAUGAAGAAUAUAGAAGCCUAUAUGAAUAGAUAUGAUUCUGUGGCCCAAGAUAUUUGUAAAAUGCGAAUGCGUACCGAUGACUUUACAUUGAUUAAAGUCAUAGGACGUGGUGCAUUUGGCGAAGUUCAACUAGUUAGACACAAAUCUACUCAAAAGGUGUAUGCUAUGAAAUUACUCAGCAAAUUUGAAAUGAUAAAGCGUUCUGAUUCAGCCUUUUUUUGGGAAGAACGAGAUAUUAUGGCUCAUGCAAAUUCACAAUGGAUAGUUCAACUACACUUUGCCUUUCAAGAUCAAAAGUAUCUCUACAUGGUAAUGGAUUACAUGCCAGGUGGAGAUUUAGUUAAUUUGAUGUCAAAUUAUGAUGUACCAGAAAAAUGGGCAAAGUUCUAUUGCGCCGAGGUAGUACUUGCCCUAGAUGCAAUACAUCGUAUGGGAUUUGUACAUCGAGACGUUAAGCCGGACAAUAUGUUACUUGACAAACAUGGCCAUUUGAAACUCGCAGAUUUUGGCACGUGUAUGAGAAUGGAUGCAGAUGGUUUGGUACGUUCUGACACCGCAGUUGGUACACCUGAUUAUAUAUCACCCGAAGUACUCCAGUCACAGGGUGGAGAAGGUGUAUAUGGUAGGGAAUGUGAUUGGUGGUCCGUUGGUGUGUUUUUAUAUGAAAUGCUCGUUGGUGACACACCCUUUUAUGCUGAUUCAUUAGUCGGGACCUAUUCAAAGAUCAUGGAUCAUAGAAAUUCACUACAUUUUCCUCAGGAGCUUAACAUUUCGCAUUAUGCAAAAAACUUGAUAUGUGGCUUUCUCACAGAUAGAACUAAGCGGUUAGGAAGAAAUGGCGUGGAAGAGAUCAAAAGCCAUCAAUUUUUUAAAAAUGAUCAAUGGACUUUUGAAAACUUACGAGAAUGUGUACCACCGGUGGUGCCUGAAUUAUCAGGAGACGAUGAUACUAGCAAUUUCGACGAUGUCGAUAAGGAAGAUGGGCCAGAAGAGAGUUUUCCAGUACCAAAAGCAUUUUCUGGAAAUCAUUUGCCAUUUAUAGGUUUCACAUAUUCAGGGGAUUAUCAAUUAAUGGCUGCCAAUGGCAAAGAAUCUGUAGAUGGAUUAGAAAAUCAUAUAAAUAAUGGCACUAAUGAUGAUGCCAAAAUCUCACAGUUAGAAAAUUUAUUGGAACGGGAGAGAAGGCAGAUAGAAUCUAUGGAAGCAAGACAGAGGGCUUUGUCUGUUCAGUUAGAGACCAUGACACGCAGAGAGACUGAAUUGCGUGAAGAAGCGGGAAGAGCGGACAAAGAAUUAACUUUAUUAAGACAUAAUUAUAAAGAAGCACAACGAAGAGUGGAGCAUGAAACGGAAGCUCGUAGGAAGGCGGAAUCUUUACUAAUGGAAUUAAAAAAGAAAUUCGAUGAAGAACAAUCUAGGAGGGCACGAGAUGCAAGUAAUUCACAGCAGACGUUCGAACGUGUGAAUACGUUAGAGAAACAAAUUAAAGAAAUGCAAUCUAAAUUGGAAAGAGAAACAGAGACAGUAACAAGAUUACGAAAACAAGCUACUGAAAUUACCGUAGCUCGUCAAGCUGCUGAACAAAUGGCAAAUGAAUUGCAAAUUGCAAGAACACAAUUACAAGCUCAACGCGAUAGUUUGCAGCAAGAAGUUGCCGCUUUGCAGGGUCAACUGUCGAAAGAACGUAGUUCUCGCUCGCAGGCAUCGUCUUUAACAGUAGAACUCGAAACGCGUCUAUCUGCUUUACAUCUUGAAUUGGAACGUAGUCAUGAAAAGGAAGAGAAGGCUACUCUGGAUAAUAGGCAGCUAAAUGAAAAAGUAUCUGCGUUGGAAAAAGAAACGGCAAGUUUAACGCUUGAAUUAAAGGCUGCACAAGCUAGGUACAAUCAAGAAGUAGUUGCGCAUCAAGAAACGGAAAGAUCACGUAUAUUAUCCAAGGAAGAAGCAAAUCUGGAAGUUGUUAAAGGACAUCAUAAUGGAAUAUUCUCAGCUUUACAAGCAAAAUUGAAUGAAGAAAAGAGUGGUAGACAAAGAGCGGAAUUACUUGCACAAGAAAAGGAAAGACAGACCUCAAUGCUAUCUGUGGACUACAGGCAAAUACAGCAACGUUUGCAGAAACUUGAGGGUGAACACAGACAAGAAGUGGAAAAAGUAAAAGUACUUCAGGGUCAGGUUGAGCAGGAACAGCAAAAGAGAAAUGUUCUUCAAACUGAUUUGGCACAACAAUCCUCGGAAGCUGGAAGGUUACGUGCUCGAGAACAACAAUUAAUUGGCGAAGUUACACAAUUAAGAGAGGCAAAACGACAAAUAGAGGAAGAGUUACAUCAUUUGAAGACUCAAAGAAAUGUGGAUCAGCUACAGACUAAAGAGUUACAAGAACAAUUGGAAGCAGAAGCUUAUUUUUCAACCCUUUAUAAAACACAAACUCAAGAAUUACGCGAGGAACUUGAGGAAAAAACGCGAUUGCAACAAGAGUUGGAGGAAGAACGUAGUUCUUUGGUUCAUCAGCUACAAUUAUCUUUAACCAGAGGAGAUAGCGAAGCAUUGGCAAGAUCAAUAGCUGAAGAAACAGUGGCAGAUCUUGAAAAAGAACGUACCAUGAAGGAAUUAGAAUAUAAGGAUGGAGUUGCUAAACAUCAUCAGGAAUUGAAUGCUAAGGAACAGAUUGUGAACAGACUUAAGGAUAGUGAGGGAGAAUUAAAAAAAUCUGUCGAACAAUAUAUCAAAGAGAAGGAAGACUUGAAUAAACGGAUUAAAGAAUUGCAAGAACAACUCAAUAAAGCACAGUCCAAUGCCGAAGAAAUUGAAAAACUCAGUAGUAAGCUCAAGACGGAACAAGUGCUUAAACAACAAGCUGUCAACAAAUUGGCUGAAAUUAUGAAUAGAAAGGAUGUUUCUUCUACUGGAAAGAAUAAGAAUAAGGCGUCAGCUACAGAUCUGAGAAAGAAGGAAAAGGACUGCCGGCGAUUUCAACAGGAACUUACUCAAGAACGAGAAAAGUAUGGACAAUUGGCAGCAAAAUGGCAAAAGGAUCUCCAGGAUUUACAAGCACAACUCGUCGAGGAAAAUCAAGCAAAAUUGAGGCUACAAAUGGAGCUAGAUUCGAAAGACUCGGAGAUCGAAACGUUGCAAAUGAAAAUCGCAAGUGUCAAUUCAGAAACAGCAAGUGUUUCUUCCGUGGAAAAUGAUGCAGAAGAUUCCGUUUUAUCGGAGCAUGGUUCAAUGAGAUUAGAGGGCUGGUUAAACGUGCCAAACAAGCAAAAUAUUAAGAGGCAUGGUUGGAAGAAGCAAUAUGUGGUCGUUUCUUCUAAGAAAAUCAUUUUUUAUAAUAGCGAAAACGAUAAAAUGAAUGCAGAUCCAGUUUUGAUAUUAGAUUUGAGUAAAGUAUUUCACGUUAGAUCUGUCACGCAAGGUGAUGUUAUCCGCGCCAAUGCCAAAGAUAUUCCUAGGAUUUUUCAGUUACUUUAUGCCGGCGAAGGUGAAGCUAGACGACCUGGCGACGAAGGGAACGCACUAUCCGGAAUAGAAUUACCACAGCUUACGGACAAACCUGGUACACAACAAUUAAAAGGCCAUGAAUUCGUUUCAAUAUCUUAUCACAUGCCAACCACGUGCGAAGUUUGUUCUAAACAACUUUGGCACAUGUUUCGUCCAUCUCCAGCUCUGGAAUGUCGAAGAUGUCGCAUAAAAGUGCAUAAGGAACAUUUGGAAAAGAAAGAAGAUGCCAUAGCUCCGUGUAAACUACAUUAUGAUCCAAACAGUGCACGAGAAUUGUUGGUCCUUGCUGGAAGUCCAGAAGAACAAAAAUACUGGGUCUCCAGAUUAUCUAGGCGCAUUCAAAAAUGUGGUUAUAAAGCGAAUUCACAUGUCGAUGGGACAGGACAACGUGUCUCGCCAAGGUAGCGUAGCCGUGCAGCACAGCGUAGCCAGGGACUAAAUAGCUCUCGUGUAUUGUGGCAUCGCAUGAUCGCGGGUGUAGAGAGGGAAUCGACCAGAUCGACGUUAAAGCCAUAUUUAUCGGUGCAACAGCGCUCAGCGACUUUACCAGCGAAUGCCAGUAUGGGCAAGUGACCUUAGCUCGCGUUGAAAAUAUCUUCAGUCGUCAGUGCGCUUGAUUGUUAUCAUUUAGUCCUUCUCUAAUUAAGGUUCGACUUAGUAAACGCGUCGCGUCGGUUGAUUCUCAUUGUUCACCCGAUGAUUCUUUAAGUUCAUUCUCACAUACAUUUUCCAGAAGCCGUGUUUUCAGAGUCUACCCACUUGUAGUACACACGUGUUGUCGGAUUUGCGAUCCAAAUACACUGUUAACAAAUACCAUAUUAGUGGAAAGGAAGGAGCAAAAAAUGACUAACGACUGCGAUAGGCCGAUUUCAUUUCUCGGCGAAUAGCAAUGUAAGAAAUUCCAAUCAAGUCCCAGAGCUGUAUGGAAAAAACAGGGUUACUAGAUAUACCACGUGGAGUCUAAAGAAAUGGUUUUUCGGAAUAUACGUACGAUCAAGGGAAAAAAAGUAAAGGAAAAAGGAUAAGAGAAGAAUGACAGUAAUCGUUAUUUAUAACAGAUCGACGAAUAAUGCUUAUCUGAAAACAAUCUGCGAUAAAGAAAUCAAAGUGAUGUACACGAAUGUUAUGCAGCCUUCCUCGUAUUCCUUUGACUAAAUUUAUUGUAUUAUGGCAAGUGACUUUAUCCAUUUGCCGCGCGAGAUACUCGAUUUGUUGAAACUUUAUUACGUUAUUAGUGUCCCUUGUGAAAAGGCAUAUCGCAUAUUCAUUGUAGUUUGUAUAUGAAUGCUUAAAUCGAAUGUUCUUUGUAUAUACACUUGUCGGCACCAUAUCCAAGGGAUAGAGCGGCUCGGUGCUUCUUUAUUUUUUCGUUUCUUAUCCUCUUAAAGCGUAGAAUCAAGCUGGAUAUUGAGCAUUAUUUGCUCGAAAGACUAACGAGUUUAUCACAGGAUAUUUAUAGUAUUAUUAAAAUUUUAUAUUUUUUCGAAAGUAAAAUAUUUAAAUUCUUACAUCGAACUAACAUAGAGGCAAGUUUUCACUUGCUCGAAUCAUCGAAAACAGCUGCCAAAGUUUUGUUUGUCUGUUCUUUUUUCUUCUUCUUUAACGCGAGAUACGAACAGUCACGAAAGAGACAUGUUAAAAGUUAAAAGCGAAAGUAUGGUUAAACAAAAACAAAAAAAAAAGAAAAUUAUCAAAACCAGCACAACGAUAAGUGCUAAGAUAAGUUAACGCUAAGAGCGAGCUUCGUUGUACAGUAGAUGUAAUAUUUACAGUUAUGACCUACGAAAGUUUUAUGAUAUAAUAUACGAAUGUUCGCGCGAAACUUUUUGGAUUGGAAAAAAAAAAGAAAAAAAA